rnacentral:lncRNA from 1 species
CAUACUAAGCUACAAAUAUAGGAACCACCAAUAGUCAAGUCAUUGCUAAAAAAAAAAAUUAUGCUCUGAAUAUAUCUGAUCGAAGCCAUAAACUGCUCAAUAAUUCUCCAAGUUAGCCUAUAGCCCUAAUAUCAUGUAGAGGCACAAACAUACAGGCUACCAAUCUCUAAGUUUAUAGCUCUGAUAUCAUGUAGAAUGGCAUACUACAUGUACUAGAUUGAUUGUGUUGGCUCA